UGCAGACUGACCCUGGACAUCAGAGCACCUUCAUCAUCCACCCGGGGACCCCCAGCAGCCGCAGGUGAGCUCUCGUCUGUCUCUGGUCUCUGUGGGCCGCCUGUCCUCCCAGACUGCAGAAACCGGACCCUGACUGGACCUGAUGUCCCUGCUGGAGGGGGGACAGUGAGACAGACGACCGGUCCUCCCGUGUCCUGCUUGGUUCUGACUCUGUCCCUCUUGUCCCUCUUGUCCCUCUUGUCCCUCUUGUCCGUCCUGCAGCUGUCAGCAGAGUUCAGAUUCUGACGAGUCCACAGGAGGACUGGAGCGGUCGCAGGACGACGCAGACGGAGGCUCUCUGAGUGGCAGCAGCUCUCUGGACAGUUUGGACGACGGCUGUGAAGACACUCUGACCUCCAGCCUGAGCGACGGUAAACGCCACACCUCCUCCUCCUCCUCCUCCUCCUCCUCCUCCUCCUGCUGACCUCCGACCUCUGACCCCACAGAGAAGUUUGACACCGACCUGAGGAGCCUGCAGUCGCCGGAUCAGCUGCACUUCCUGAACCCCCGCCUCAGCGUCUCCACCCGCUUCCUGUCCCGCUUCCAGGACAGAUGCAGACGGCAGGUCGUGACCUCUCACGCGAGGUCACCGGACGAGGUCGGCAGCGUCGACGUCACUCUGACCAAUCAAGACCAAACCCUGAUCCCAAGCCCCGCCCCCACAGCCCCGCCCCUCAUCGCCGGGGACAUCAGCAGCUGCUCGACAGACAGACCCUGCCCUCCUCUGGCUGAUAACCCCGCCUGCUACAACGAGGAGGAGGAGGAGCACCAGGAGCACCAGGGCCUCCUGCUGCAGGCUGCACAGGUCAUGGAGGAGCUGAAGGCGACCGCCCGACGAGCGCGCCACAUUUUUCAACAGCUGGGAGCGUCUUCGCCCGCCGGUUCACCGUGGCUCCGCCGCACGGCGUCCGUCCUCGCCCUGCUCCGCGAUCUGGACCAAGGUGCCUCGGAGCCGGUGGACUGCGGCGCCCCCAGUGGUCAGCUGCAGGACAACACCGCCUGAGGACGGCUGUAUAUGUACAUGUGGAAUUUGUAAAAUAGAAUAAAAAUUAAAAAAAAAAAGAAAACCUGUUUUCUUUUUUUUUAAUUUUUAAAAAGUUUUCUUAAUUUCAGAACUUUUUCACAAAGCUAAG
rnacentral:lncRNA from 1 species